rnacentral:rRNA from 1 species
GAUGAACGCUGGCGGCGUGCCUAAUACAUGCAAGUCGAGCGAACGGACGAGAAGCUUGCUUCUCUGAUGUUAGCGGCGGACGGGUGAGUAACACGUGGAUAACCUACCUAUAAGACUGGGAUAACUUCGGGAAACCGGAGCUAAUACCGGAUAAUAUUUUGAACCGCAUGGUUCAAAAGUGAAAGACGGUCUUGCUGUCACUUAUAGAUGGAUCCGCGCUGCAUUAGCUAGUUGGUAAGGUAACGGCUUACCAAGGCAACGAUGCAUAGCCGACCUGAGAGGGUGAUCGGCAACACUGGAACUGAGACACGGUCCAGACUCCUACGGGAGGCAGCAGUAGGAAAUCUUCCGAAAUGGGCGAAAGCCUGACGGAGCAACGCCGCGUGAGUGAUGAAGGUCUGCGGAUCGUAAAACUCUGUUAUUAGGGAAGAACAUAUGUGUAAGUAACGGUGCACAUCUUGACGGUACCUAAGCAGAAAGCCACGGCUAACUACGU